UGGGGAAUAUUGCACAAUGGGCGCAAGCCUGAUGCAGCCAUGCCGCGUGUAUGAAGAAGGCCUUCGGGUUGUAAAGUACUUUCAGCGGGGAGGAAGGGAGUAAAGUUAAUACCUUUGCUCAUUGACGUUACCCGCAGAAGAAGCACCGGCUAACUCCGUGCCAGCAGCCGCGGUAAUACGGAGGGUGCAAGCGUUAAUCGGAAUUACUGGGCGUAAAGCGCACGCGGGCGGUUUGUUAAGUCAGAUGUGAAAUCCUCGGGCUCAACCUGGGAACUGCAUCUGAUACUGGCAAGCUUGAGUCUCGUAGAGGGGGGUAGAAUUCCAGGUGUAGCGGUGAAAUGCGUAGAGAUCUGGAGGAAUACCGGUGGCGAAGGCGGCCCCCUGGACGAAGACUGACGCUCAGGUGCGAAAGCGUGGGGAGCAAACAGG
rnacentral:rRNA from 1 species